rnacentral:rRNA from 1 species
GACGAACGCUGGCGGCGUGCUUAACACAUGCCAGUCGAACGGUGAAGCGCCUUCCUUUUUGGUGGGUGUGGAUGAGUGGCGAACGGGUGAGUAACACGUGAGUAACCUGCCCCCUUCUUCUGGAUAACCGCAUGAAAGUGUGGCUAAUACGGGAUAUUCUGGGUCUGUCGCAUGAUGGGUCUGGGAAAGAUAUUGUUUCGGUGGGGGAUGGGUUCGCGGCCUAUCAGCUUGUUGGUGGGGUGAUGGCCUACCAAGGCGGUGACGGGUAGCCGGCCUGAGAGGGUGGACGGUCACACUGGGACUGAGACACGGCCCAGACUCCUACGGGAGGCAGCAGUGGGGAAUAUUGCACAAUGGGCGCAAGCCUGAUGCAGCGACGCCGCGUGAGGGAUGGAGGCCUUCGGGUUGUGAACCUCUUUCGCCAGUGAAGCAGGCCUGCCUCGUUUGUGGGUGGGUUGACGGUAGCUGGAUAAGAAGCGCCGGCUAACUACGUG